ensembl:lncRNA
UAAAAAAUGAAGAGGACAGAGUCCUGUACUAUGCUGCUGCUUUAUAAAAGCACCCUUUAUUUGCCACUAUUGCCCCAGCCGAGCAGCACCUCCCCUCGCUGGUGCGUGGAUGACCCCGGCACAGCAGGGACGUGUGGUUGUGCCCAGCGGAGGCUUUCCUGGCUGCCCUGUACAGUCCUGCUGGCACCAGGCAGAAUUUGGGAGGAACUUAUUCUGCGAACCUAUAGGCCAUCACAACACCGAGAGAGGAGGAGGAGGAAGGGAGAGAAAGGGAAAACUAAAAACCCUGAAGGAUGGUUCUCAAAAAUUCUAGCGGAACCAGGGGGAAUUCCUCGGAGAGCGGGAGCCAGCCGGCGGAGAUGGCCGAGCCCGGAGGUGUUUGAUGAGCAGAUUGGGUCUUUAUCUCGGCACUGGAGAGCACGCAGGCUUGCAGAGAGACAGGGCAGCUUCGGAGUGUUUCUGUUGUUUGUUUGUUUUCUUCUGCUGAAAUCUGGCUGCCUUUUUACUGCGCUGUAAAGAAUUUGUAUGGGCUGAAUAUGUUUCUGGUUUAUAUAUAGUUUUUCAUAUCAUCAUAUUAAACAUAUUGAGAGUUAAGGAGAAACUAUUUUAAAAUAAUCCACUCUAUUUUAUUUGGUAUGUUUACCAGCAGCACGCUCUAUAAAAAUACAUAUUCAUGCCAGAUUCUUUUGUUAUCCCUCCCAGGUCAGACCGAACACUAGGAACACAAACAAUUUUUCUUUUGCUAUCCCAGUGCCCGCUCCUAGGGAUUUAUCUAGUUACUGUUGGUGAGAUGACCAUUCCUGCAAUAUUUCCCUCUGUGAUUUAAUUAAAUACGCCAUGAAUUAAAGCUUGCUGAUAAGAUUUUAUUUUUAAGCAUUUUUUACAUUUUUAUUCUGACAAUAGUCCUGACUUUCUGUAUGUAUCAAUUUGAUAGUAAUCCUUUUCUGAGGAUAGCUAUGCAGAGUGUUUUAGAACAGCCUCUCUCAUCUGCAUAUUUUCCUUAUUUUAUUUUAUUUAUUUUAGCUUAUUAUUUUAUUUUAUUCUAUUCAUAUUAUGCAAAAUGAAUGAACAACAAAAUUAUACAAUUAUAGAAUAACGUAACUUAAUGCCAAAAGAUGGAUUAAAACAGUUUAUAUGAAUGAUCUGAUCUGACAUCAGUGCCUUGUUAUUUAGUGCAAACCUUGAUUUUCAACUGUUUCGCUUCACUCCUGACAUGAGCAUCGUGCAGUUUAAACAUCUGUCCAGCCGUUAAAGACCCUAUUGAUGCUUGGUUAUUGGAUUUCUAAUUUUCAGGUUUCGUCAGGGGGUUUAAGAGACUGUAUGAGUGUUUAUAAUUUCUAAUGAGUUUAAUCUGUAAUUUGUGCCUAUUACCUGUGACUGUCAAAUCGCUUUCCCAGUAUUCGGUCUGUAAAAAUUCAAAAUAAAGAACUAUGGGCUUCUAAAUAACCUAAAAUAUUUGUCAUAUCUUUUAUGUACAAAUAUAUGUGCGGUAAACAGAACUAUACAUUCUUAUUCUGUUUGAAGAUCAAGAAUGAUUUUAAUCCUGCAUAUCUACUGCAAUCACAAUAUAUUAUCUAAAUCCAAGUUUCUUUGAGGACUUCUUGGAUAUAUGUCACUAUUUCAAUUGAGAUAAAAUAGUGUAUGUUUUAGGCCACUGCAAGGCUGAUUAUUGCUGCGUGAUUAGUAUUUGAUCAAAUUCCAUCCUUUUUUUUUUUUUUUUUUCCCUGAGACAAUUCAGCUCCUCCACAUCUAGGGGAGAAUUCACCUCAUUCUGUCUGACAAGUGUUCUGUUGUUGAGCAGUCGAUCACAUCUAUGUAAACAUACAUCUGCUUGCUGUAUGAGUUUUGGAAGCAGAACAGUUUUAAUUUAUCAUAAACUUCAUAUAACUCAUUAGCUUUCAUCUUUACGUCACAUGUAUAGAAAUGAGUUUGGAGUGUACUCAGAGGGGUUUUUUUCUUAGGAGUUUGCUGUACAAAUAUUUAUGGACAUUUUCCUUUGUAGUACAGAUUCCAGUUGAAACAGCUAUCAUGCGAUUAACAGCAGAUUUCGACUUAAGGAAAAGGUUGCCAAAAGCUAUUGUUUAUUUAGCCGUAUGGCAUUUUGCAUUGAAAUUUGUUUUGCUACUAUUUGUAAAAAUACACGACUCUCCUGGGAGGAGAGAUCAGGAUUUUUCCUGUGAUCUGGUAAGGAGGGGAAAAAAGGCUCCCAGAAAAUUAAAUAUAAGUCUGUUUGUAUGUAUGAGCAUAACUUUGUAAUCACUGCAUAUUCUGACUAUUUUCAGUGAAUGAGGUCUGUUGUUGCCCAUUCAGAAAACACAUAUAUGGAGAUUUUAUUGUGUUUUUUGUUUUAAGGAUAAUAAUUUGUCUCUGAGUUCCCCUUGUUUAUGUUUCUGUCUAUAUCUCUUUCCUCUUCUGUGUUUUAUUUAGUAAGGCUGCAUCUGUGAAAUUUCUCCAUGAAACAAUUGAUACAUUCUCAGCACGCUGUGGCGAGUGAAAAAAAGCCCCUAGAUUAAUGGUCAGUGUCUCAUACACACAAAUUUGUGUUACGAUACUACAGAGAAGCUGCGAAUUACUGACAAGAUCUAGAAUAAUUCCUAAUGCUGUCGAAGGCUUCAUUUUCUCCUCCGCAUGAUGGAUGAGGCAUAAGAAGUGCUUUCUGAGAUCGUUAAUGUGCAUCAUUCUGUUAAGUGUUAUUAAAGUCCGUCUGUCUUAGGCAGCAGAAACAAUAUCUUAUCCCUUAUUUUGUCUCUCUCCCUGCUAAACUACAACUGCAGAUCCUGUCUUUUACUAAUGUGGCCUUUUGUUGGUGCUCUUCUUUUAAUGGCUAGUUUAUACUGGAGCAUUUAGGUUGGUUUUAGGAUUGUAUUUUCCCUUUUAAUCAAAAUAUUGGCUUGUUACAUGGGAAAGUGCACAUAAUUUCAAGAUUAUACUCUCUGUAACCUGUAGAUAAUAAGAAAGAUGUGGAAGAUCUAUGCCAAAUGUUAUAUUUAAGCUUAGAAAAUACGGGUGAACUUGGAUGCGAAGCCUGUGCCUGUGCUAUGGGGCAGGUUGGCCGUGCAGUCCUGCCCGACGCAGCUGGAAGCGAGCAGAGCGCCUUGAAACCGAGAAGAAAAUGGUGUGGAAGCACACGGAGCCUUUCCCCUCCCGACCUGACUGCGGGGCGUGCGGCUCGGCGUUUAAAAUAAUGCUGGGGACGAUGCAGGCGCUUGGCUCGCCUCGCAGAGGGACGAGUCUUGCAGAAACCUGCGAGCGGGCGCCUGGGAGCAGAGCAGCUGCGGCUUCGUGCUCGGGGGGCGUUCGCCCCACGGCCGCCUCCUGCGCGCCCCACGUGCGGCCGGGCCUCGCGCGGGCUGGGGGCGGGCGGAGCAGGGAGGUGGCCAGGUACCGGGCCCAGAUGGAUCGCGUUAAAUCAAAGGCAAUUUCAACCAAACAGAAGAAUGCACUUUAAAGGUUUUUAACCUUUCUUAAGAGCCAAUUUUUCCUUAAGCCCUGUGAUAAUAAAAUACAAUAUAAUUUAUAGAGCGCUUUCCAUGGGUAUGCAUUCCUCUCUUUUUUUUUUUUUUUUUUCUUUUUGGUACAGUCAGAUAAAACGUAUCCAACAACUGGGGCGAUCAUCAAGAAAAAACAAAACGCAACUGAUCAUAAAGACAUUUAGAAAUGUAAC